rnacentral:rRNA from 1 species
GCAUAACGAGGCGAACCGGGGGAACUGAAACAUCUAAGUACCCCGAGGAAAAGAAAUCAACCGAGAUUCCGAAAGUAGCGGCGAGCGAAAUUGGACUAGCCCUUAAGCUUUACACGCGUUAGACGAACGGUCUGGAAAGUCCGACGAUACAGGGUGAUAGUCCCGUAGUUGACGACGUGUGUUCAGUGAAAUCGAGUAGGGCGGGACACGUGAUAUCCUGUCUGAAUAUGGGGGGACCAUCCUCCAAGGCUAAAUACUACUGACUGACCGAUAGUGAACCAGUACCGUGAGGGAAAGGCGAAAAGAACCCCUGUGAGGGGAGUGAAAUAGAACCUGAAACCGUGUACGU